rnacentral:pre_miRNA from 1 species
UGGUAAAAGCAAGGAAACGGAGUCGAAGAUCUUUUCCUCUGUCUUUCUUCUUCGACUCCGUUUCCUUGCUUUUACCAC